AGUUCGAUCAUGGCUCAGAUUGGAACGCUGGCGGGAUGCUUUACACAUGCAAGUCGAACGGCAGCACGGACUUCGGUCUGGUGGCGAGUGGCGAACGGGUGAGUAAUGUAUCGGAACGUGCCUAGUAGCGGGGGAUAACUACGCGAAAGCGUAGCUAAUACCGCAUACGCCCUUCGGGGGAAAGCGGGGGACCUUCUCUGGGCCUCGCACUAUUAGAGCGGGCCGAUAUCGGAUUAGCUAGUUGGUGGGGUAACGGCUCACCAAGUGACGAUCCGCAGCUGGUUUGAGAGGACGACCAGCCACACUGGGACUGAGACACGGCCCAGACUCCUACGGGAGGCAGCAGCGGGGAAUUUUUGGACAAUGGGGGAAACCCUGAUCCAGCCAUCCCGCGUGUGCGGAUGAAGGCCUUCGGGUUGUAAAGCACUUUUGGCAGGAAAAGAAACGGCACGGGAUAAUACCCCGUGCAACUGACGGCACUCGCAGAAUAAGCACCGGCUAACUACGUGCCAGCAGCCGCGGUAAUACGUAGGGUGCAAGCGUUAAUCGGAAUUACUGGGCGUAAAAGCGUGCAGGCGGUUCGGAAAAAGAAAGAUGUGAAAUCCCAGAGCUUAACUUUGGAACUGCAUUUUUAACUACCGAGCUAGAGUGUGUCAGAGGGAGGUGGAAUUCCGCGUGUAGCAGUGAAAUGCGUAGAUAUGCGGAGGAACACCGAUGGCGAAGGCAGCCUCCUGGGAUAACACUGACGCUCAUGCACGAAAGCGUGGGGAGCAAACAGGAUUAGAUACCCUCUGGUAGUCCACGCCCUAAACGAUGUCAACUAGCUGUUGGGGCCUUCGGGCCUUGGGUAGCGCAGCUAACGCGUGGUGUUGACCGCCUGGGGAGUACGGUCGCAAGAUUAAAACUCAAAGGAAUUGGACGGGGACCCGCACAAGCGGUGGAUGAUGUGGAUUAAUUCACGCAACGCGAAACCUUACCUACCCUUGACAUGUCUGGAAUCCCGAAGAGAUUUGGGAGUGCUCGCAAGAGAACCGAACACAGGUGCUGCAUGGCUGUCGUCAGCUCGUGUCGUGAGAUGUUGGGUUAAGUCCCGCAACGAGCGCAACCCUUGUCAUUAGUUGCUACGAAAGGGCACUCUAAUGAGACUGCCGGUGACAAACCGGGAGGAAGGUGGGGAUGACGUCAAGUCCUCAUGGCCCUUAUGGGUAGGGCUUCACACGUCAUACAAUGGUCGGGACAGAGGGUCGCUAACCCGCGAGGGGGAGCCAAUCCCAGAACCCGAUCGUAUCCGGAUCGCAGUCUGCAACUCGACUGCGUGAAGUCGGAAUCGCUAGUAAUCGCGGAUCAGCAUGUCGCGGUGAAUACGUUCCUGGGUCUUGUACACACCGCCCGUCACACCAUGGGAGUGGGUUUUACCAGAAGUAGUUAGCCGCCUAACCGUAAGGGGAGGGCGAUUACCACGGUAGGAUUCAUGACUGGGGUGAAGUCGUAACAAGGUAG
rnacentral:rRNA from 1 species